GAGCCCGUGGUCUAGUUUGGUUUUGACGUCGCGCUCACACCGCGAAGAGCGAGAGUUCAAAUCUCUCCGGGCUCACCA
rnacentral:tRNA from 1 species